GAUGAACGCUAGCGGCAGGCUUAACACAUGCAAGUCGAGGGGUAACAGGUAGUGCUUGCACUAUGCUGACGACCGGCGCACGGGUGCGUAACGCGUAUACAAUCUACCUUUUGCUGAGGGAUAGCCCAGAGAAAUUUGGAUUAAUACCUCAUGGUAUCAUAUUAUCACCUGAUAAAAUGAUUAAAGGUUACGGCAAAAGAUGAGUAUGCGUCCUAUUAGCUAGAUGGUAAGGUAACGGCUUACCAUGGCAACGAUAGGUAGGGGCCCUGAGAGGGGGAUCCCCCACACUGGUACUGAGACACGGACCAGACUCCUACGGGAGGCAGCAGUGAGGAAUAUUGGACAAUGGAGGCAACUCUGAUCCAGCCAUGCCGCGUGCAGGAAGACUGCCCUAUGGGUUGUAAACUGCUUUUAUACAGGAAGAAACCUAUCUACGUGUAGAUAGCUGACGGUACUGUAAGAAUAAGGAUCGGCUAACUCCG
rnacentral:rRNA from 1 species